rnacentral:ncRNA from 15 species
GGGAAGCCGGUCGAAUUCCGGCGCUGACCCGCAGCCGUAGAUCAGUUCGCUGAUGAGCCGGAAUGCC